UACGGAGGGAGCUAGCGUUGUUCGGAAUUACUGGGCGUAAAGCGCACGUAGGCGGCUUAUCAAGUCAGGGGUGAAAUCCCGGGGCUCAACCCCGGAACUGCCUCUGAAACUGGCAAGCUAGAAUCUUGGAGAGGUCAGUGGAAUUCCGAGUGUAGAGGUGAAAUUCGUAGAUAUUCGGAAGAACACCAGUGGCGAAGGCGACUGACUGGACAAGUAUUGACGCUGAGGUGCGAAAGCGUGGGGAGCAAACAGG
rnacentral:rRNA from 1 species